UACGGGGGGGGCAAGCGUUGUUCGGAAUUACUGGGCGUAAAGGGCUCGUAGGCGGCCAACUAAGUCAGACGUGAAAUCCCUCGGCUUAACCGGGGAACUGCGUCUGAUACUGGAUGGCUUGAGGUUGGGAGAGGGAUGCGGAAUUCCAGGUGUAGCGGUGAAAUGCGUAGAUAUCUGGAGGAACACCGGUGGCGAAGGCGGCCCACUGGUCCGGUACUGACGCUGAGGUGCGAAAGCGUGGGGAGCAAACAGG
rnacentral:rRNA from 1 species